rnacentral:rRNA from 1 species
UGAGGAAUAUUGGUCAAUGGACGUAAGUCUGAACCAGCCAAGUAGCGUGCAGGAUGACGGCCCUAUGGGUUGUAAACUGCUUUUGUAUGGGGAUAAAGUCAGUCACGUGUGAUUGUUUGCAGGUACCAUACGAAUAAGGACCGGCUAAUUCCGUGCCAGCAGCCGCGGUAAUACGGAAGGUCCAGGCGUUAUCCGGAUUUAUUGGGUUUAAAGGGAGCGUAGGCUGGAUAUUAAGUGUGUUGUGAAAUGUAGACGCUCAACGUCUGACUUGCAGCGCAUACUGGUUUCCUUGAGUACGCACAACGUUGGCGGAAUUCGUCGUGUAGCGGUGAAAUGCUUAGAUAUGACGAAGAACUCCGAUUGCGAAGGCAGCUGACGGGAGCGCAACUGACGCUUAAGCUCGAAGGUGCGGGUAUCAAACAGGAUUAGAUACCCUGGUAGUCCGCACAGUAAACGAUGGAUGCCCGCUGUUGGUACCUGGUAUCAGCGGCUAAGCGAAAGCAUUAAGCAUCCCACCUGGGGAGUACGCCGGCAACGGUG